rnacentral:rRNA from 1 species
GAUGAACGCUAGCGGCAGGCUUAACACAUGCAAGUCGAGGGGUAUAGGUUUUCGGACCUAGAGACCGGCGCACGGGUGCGUGACGCGUAUGCAAUCUACCUUUCACAGAGGGAUAGCCCAGAGAAAUUUGGAUUAAUACCUCAUAGUAUAGCAGUUUCGCAUGAAACCACUAUUAAAGUAUCAACGGUGAAAGAUGAGCAUGCGUCCCAUUAGCUAGAUGGUAAGGUAACGGCUUACCAUGGCUACGAUGGGUAGGGGUCCUGAGAGGGAGAUCCCCCACCCUGGUACUGAGACACGGACCAGACUCCUACGGGAGGCAGCAGUGAGGAAUAUUGGUCAAUGGACGCAAGUCUGAACCAGCCAUGCCGCGUGCAGGAUGACGGUCCUAUGGAUUGUAAACUGCUUUUGUACGGGAAGAAACAACAUUACGUGUAAUGUCUUGACGGUAUCGUAAGAAUAAGGAUCGGCUAACUCCGUGCCAGCCGCCGCGGUAACAC